rnacentral:lncRNA from 1 species
AUCGAGGGGAACUUCUUGGCUGCCAUUUCUGGAUGUCAAGGCUGCAGAUACACUGGUCAGGACCCUGGGUAGAGAGAGAUGCGUCAGAAUGCGGCUCCUUUCAGAAAGGCUUCUCCGGAGGUCAGCACUCGGGCAAAAGGCUGUGUGUGAUGUGUUUGGGAACACAAAGGGUGAUAAUCUUUACCAUGUGCACAAACAUGAUGCUCUCCUGAUGUGAAAACAUUGGUACUAUGAGGCUCCCAGAAUUCCCAGCCUUUAGAACUGUUGGUGAGGUCAGCUGACUACUAGAAGACAGAUCUAUUUGAAGAUUUUUGUGGUGGUCUUUACUACUCCAGAGAUUUACAGCUGAUGAAAAAUGGAGAAGUACAUGACCCUACCCUGCUGUUGGACAUGCUACCCAAGGAUCAUGACUGACAACUUGUCAACAUCACUAUUGCUUAUUUAAUAAAUGUGCAGUACUACUUCAAUAAACCUGGAAUCAUAAAAUUUUAGAGAACAAACCUUAAA